AUACACCAACUUAGUUUAUAAAACACUAUUUUUGUAAUAUAGAGAUCCUAAAUAUCCACCGCCCUCUGCGAA
rnacentral:tRNA from 1 species